UACGUAGGCAGCGAGCGUUGUUCGGAGUUACUGGGCGUAAAGGGUGUGUAGGCGGUCUUCUAAGUCUGGUGUGAAAUCUCCCGGCUCAACUGGGAGGGUGCGCCGGAAACUGGGAGGCUAGAGUGUGGGAUGGGAGAGUGGAAUUCCUGGUGUAGCGGUGAAAUGCGUAGAUAUCAGGAGGAACACCGGUGGCGAAGGCGGGUCUCUGGGCCGAUACUGACGCUGGAGGAGCGAAAGCGUGGGGAGCGAACAGG
rnacentral:rRNA from 1 species